CGUGAGGUAAUACAGUAGGGGGAGGUGCAGCGUGAGGUAAUACAGUAGGGGAGGUGCAGCGUGAGGUAUACAGUAGGGGAGGUGCAGCGUGAGGUAAUACACAAGAGGGGAAUGCGUCUCAAAUUGAAUGUUUGUUUUUUACAUUCGCCACACUUUGUCCUCACAUGAACGUACUCAAGAGAACGUGGUCGGAGAAUGUUCGUUCCAGAUUUCCUGUUGUCUGUUCGUUCCAAGACAAGACAAGUGUUGGAAGUGGAUCAACAGUAUAGUAGCCAAUCACACACCGUCUCCCACCCACCUCGGUCAACAGUAUAGUAGCCAAUCACACACCGUCUCCCACCCACCUCGGUCAACAGUAUAGUAGCCAAUCACACACCGUCUCCCACCCACCUCGGUCAACAGUAUAGUAGCCAAUCACACACCGUCUCCCACCCACCUCGGUCAACAGUAUAGUAGCCAAUCACACAACGUCCCCCACCAACCUCUGUCAACAGUAUAGUAGCCAAUCACACACCGUCUCCCACCCACCUCUGUCAACAGUAUAGUAGCCAAUCACACACCGUCUCCCACCCACCUCUGUCAACAGUAUAGUAGCCAAUCACACACCGUCUCCCACCCACCUCUGUCAACAGUAUAGUAGCCAAUCACACACCGUCUCCCACCCACCUCUGUCAACAGUAUAGUAGCCAAUCACACACCGUCUCCCACCCACCUCUGUCAACAGUAUAGUAGUCCCCACUGAUAUCAGGAGUGACAAUAAGGGGGGAUAGGUCUGAUAUCAGGAGUGACAAUAAGGGGGGAUAGGUCUGAUAUCAGGAGUGACAUUAGGGAGGGGGGAUAGGUCUGAUAUCAGGAGUGACAAUAAGGGGGGAUAGGUCUGAUAUCAGGAGUGACAUUAGGGAGGGGGGUUAGGUCUGAUAUCAGGGGUGACAAUAGGGAGGGGGGAUAGGUCUGAUAUCAGGAGUGACAUUAGGGAGGGGGGGAUAGGUCUGAUAUCAGGAGUGACAAUAAGGGGGGAUAGGUCUGAUAUCCGGAGUGACAAUAAGGGGGGAUAGGUCUGAUAUCAGGAGUGACAUUAGAGAGGGGGGGAUAGGUCUGAUAUCAGCAGUAAUAUUAGGGAGGGGGGAUAGGUCUGAUAUCAGGGGUGACAUUGAGGGGGGAUAGGUCUGAUAUCAGGGGUGACAUUAGGGAGGGGGGAUAGGUCUGAUAUCAGGGGUGACAUUAGGGAGGGUGAUAGGUCUGAUAUCAGGAGUGACAUUAGGAAGGGGGGAUAGGUCUGAUAUCAGGAGUGACAUUAGGGAGGGGGGAUAGGUCUGAUAUCAGGGGUGACAUUAGGGAGGGUGAUAGGUCUGAUAUCAGGAGUGACAUUAGGGAGGGGGGUCUGAUAUCAGGGGUGACAUUAGGGAGGGGGGAUAGGUCUGAUAUCAGGAGUGACAUUAGGGAGGGGGGGAUAGGUCUGAUAUCAGGGGUGACAUUAGGGAGGGGGGGAUAGGUCUGAUAUCAGGGGUGACAUUAGGGAGGGGUGAUAGGUCUGAUAUCAGGGGCUAAUAUGAGGGUACCUGUAGCUCAUACAAGACAUGGAGGCAUAGAGUUGGAUAAAGGGCACAUAUCAAUGUCUCUGCCCAAGUUAAAACAGGGUUUGUGGCAAGUCUCUCUCCAUCUCGGGUUUAUAUUGAGGAUUUUGCAGUUGCAUUGGUCAUCACCAGCAUUUUUAUCAGAGUCACCUCACUUGUAAAUGAACAAAUUAAUGAAAGUGUGGCUUUGUUUUUCAAAUCUGAACAACAACCCCCCCAAUGCGAGGAGUCGCUGUUAUUUUAUUUUGUAUUUUUAUUUCGUUGUGCUGCGUUUUUUCUCAUGAAAACAUCUAUUCUGAAAUGGUCAUUUGCCUUGUAAAGUAGUGUUUUACUGUGUGAUCGAUACAGUCAUUUCUAAGUACUGUGGAAUUUACAUCGUAACCAUAUUGUAAAGUACCUCAAAACAAAAACUAAAAAACCAUUUAAAAAAUACAAACGUGUUGCCAAAUAAUGCCAAUGAAAAGACAACUAUAAUAAUUAUUAUUAUUAACCAUGAAUUAUCAAGUGCAAGAAAGACAAAAAAAUAACCUGAAGUGUCUAGACGAGAGUUGAUGACGUCUCAUUGCCCUCAUGGUUUAAUUUUUCUUCUCUUGUAGUGCUAGUUAUCCUGAAAGCUGCGAUGUAACAAUGAAGAGGAAUAAAUAGACUAUAUUUUUCUACCAUCUGAGUGAAGCACUCCAUACACCGUGAGGGUGGCGGAAUGCGCUGGGAACCAAUGGGAGAUCGCUGGCAACGGGUCUUAGGCUAUGACGCUAUCGCCUGUAACCUAGGUAACAAAGGUUAAGACGAUUUCAUUUAUUUUCAAUGCGAAACGUUAGAAAAUAAAUAUUUUCAUUUGAACAGCAGCACCGUUGCUGAUUCUGCAGGAUUUAGCGGUCGUGAAAAUCAAGUAAUAAAGUGACUAGAUCAUUUUAUUUUAUUUUUUAUGAAUAGAAUAACAGUAAAAACAGUUAUCCGAUUUGUUGGCUGUGUAGUUAGCGGGAAAUUCACUACGAUUGUGGGUUUGUUUUCCACUUUGGUUGGCAAACUUUCUAUAGGCUACUGCGAACAGUCACUUUGUCAUUUUGACUCACAUUGCUAGUCCCAUUGUUUAGACUUGUUCCGUAUUUAUGCAAAGACUUAGGGGAUAUUAGAAUCCUAUUGUCUUAACCUUUGUUAUUUUAAACCUAGCCCUUAACCAGGAAGUGGACGUGACGACACAGGAAAAACAAUCUCCUCCGUUCCAACGCGAUUGACCACGGUUCGACUCUAACCCAGUGCGCUCUCCUCGCCUCAGUUUGCCGAUACAGAUGCAGACUUUUAAAUUACCAUUUUUAUUUUAGAUAAAAAACACUUUGUAAUUUUGUUUCCCUAUACCGCUUUAUUGAGCGGCCAGACUGGGGUCACUUGUUUGAAAAGUAGGAAAUGGACAGAGAAAGCCUAUAUAUAUUACACUGUUUUUUUUUUACCAUUCAUGUCUGGCCCAUAUGUUAACAGCAGGCCUGAAAUCAGUAUCACUAAGGACAGAGCUUAGACUGGUAACACUUAAGGGCUGGUCUCAAAUCAGCUCUUCUCAGAAUAGGUCUGUAGACGGGAGAUUGCUCUAGCGGCUCACGUUCCUUUUUCUUUGACAAACACUGAGUUGCUCUGUGGGCUAUGAAGUCUUAUUCCUGCCAACAUUUUGGCAUUAAUCUGCUUCCAUAGAUUGAGACCCUUUUGGGACACACUUGGUCAUUCUUAUUUUCAUGCAUUCUCAGUCCUGAUAGGCUGAUGCACCGCUCAAGGUAGAGAGGGACCACAUUUUGAUCAAUCAAUAUUAGCUACCGAUCAUCGAUCAAAACAAUAACCAAUGGCUGAUGUAGUUGCCAAUUGGGAGUUGGUGACAGUUUGUUACCCACAGGUGGCACCUUAAUUGGGGAGGACUGGCUCGUGGUAAUGACUGGAGCGAAAUCAGCGGAAUGGUAUCAAACACAUUGGUUUCCAUGGUUUCCAGGUGUCUGAUGCCGUUCCAUUUGCUCCGUUCCAGACAUUAUUAUGAGCCGUCCUCCAAUCAGCAGCCUCCUGUGUUGUUACCAUGCCGACGUGUGAUAGCAGACAGCCAACCCCCUCUCAGGUGUUCUGCGGGAACGGAACAGAAUGUGACAAAAGGGUUUAUUUUCUGAACGUUAAUAUUAGAUCAAGCUGCUUGUUGUGACUGCACCGCUGUCUCUCUCUCUCUCUCUCUCUCUCUGUAGAGACACUGUUCUUCUUAGGGUGGAUGGGUGAAACGGUAUUGUCUCCCCAGAGGGUGGCGCUGUUGCUUUUAGCCCAGAAAGCCAGACUGAAUCACGCUACGUUUUAGAAUGGUUUCACUACUGUAAUAAAGGGAGCUGAAUUCAGGUUGGAUUUCCAGGCUAGCACUGCUACUGCUCCCGAGGAUGAAACGGUUCCAGUCCUCACUUCGUCCACUAGGUGGUGCUAGCUGUCUCUACUGAGGGUGCAGACAGAGCUUUGUCCACUAGGUAGCGCUAGCUGUCUCUACUGAGGGUGCAGACAGAGCUUUGUCCACUAGGUAGCGCUAGCUGUCUCUACUGAGGGUGCAGACAGAGCUUUGUCCACUAGGUAGCGCUAGCUGUCUCUACUGAGGGUGCAGACAGAGCUUUGUCCACUAGGUAGCGCUAGCUGUCUCUACUGAGGGUGCAGACAGAGCUUUGUCCACUAGGUAGCGCUAGCUGUCUCUACUGAGGGUGCAGACAGAGCUUUGUCCACUAGGUAGCGCUAGCUGUCUCUACUGAGGGUGCAGACAGAGCUUUGUCCACUAGGUAGCGCUAGCUGUCUCUACUGAGGGUGCAGAGAGAGCUUUGUCCACUAGGUAGCGCUAGCUGUCUCUACUGAGGGUGCAGACAGAGCUUUGUCCACUAGGUAGCGCUAGCUGUCUCUACUGAGGGUGCAGACAGAGCUUUGUCCACUAGGUAGCGCUAGCUGUCUCUACUGAGGGUGCAGACAGAGCUUUGUCCACUAGGUAGCGCUAGCUGUCUCUACUGAGGGUGCAGACAGAGCUUUGUCCACUAGGUAGCGCUAGCUGUCUCUACUGAGGGUGCAGACAGAGCUUUGUCCACUAGGUAGCGCUAGCUGUCUACUGCUCGAUGUCGUCUUUAUAUACUGCUUCACUGUUUAACCCGUUUGAUAAUCAGUCCCUCCUCCAAGCCUGAGCUUCAGCUAAGACUAAAGCUCUUCUGACUUGCAUAAUAAUUGUACCGUAAAGUUUUAAGUUGAAAUGUUUUUGUGGAAAAAAAAAGAUUUUAAAAAAUGUGUCUGCAUUUAAAAACAAAUGAAAUUACGGGAAUUAAAAUUACAAAGCAUACCAAA